CCUACGGGAGGCAGCAGUAGGGAAUCUUGCACAAUGGGGGAAACCCUGAUGCAGCGACGCCGCGUGAGCGAUGAAGCCCUUCGGGGCGUAAAGCUCUUUCGGUGGGGAAGAUAUGGACGGUACCCGCAAAAGAAGCCCCGGCUAACUACGUGCCAGCAGCCGCGGUAAU
rnacentral:rRNA from 1 species